rnacentral:miRNA from 10 species
GGGAUCCUGCUGAAAUGCACAUUCUGAUUCAGCAGGUCUGGGGUGCGGCCCAAGAUUCUGCAUUUCUAACAAGCUC